AAAAACAGUCUGCUUUCAAAACACAUGAAGAAAAUCAAGUUGGCUUUAUCCCAGGAUGAAAGAUUGGUUCAACAUACACAAAUCAAUAAAUGUAAUUCACCACAUAAAUAGAAUUAAGACCAAAGCCCACAUGAUCAUCUCAGUAGAUGCAGGAAAAGUCUCCAACAAAAUCCAACACCAUUCAUAAUAAUUAAAAAAAAAAAAAAAAAAGUGAAGAAAACUAGGGAUAGAAGUAACCUACCUCCAAAUUGUAAAGGCUAUAUAUGAAAAACUCAAAGCCAACAUCAUACUGAAUGGAGAAAAGCUGAAAGCAUUUCCUCUAAAAACAGGAAUAAGAAAGCUUUUCCACUCUCACCACCCCUAUUCAACAUGAUCCUUGAAACUAGCCAGAACCCUCAGGUCGGAGAAGAAAAUCCAAGGGAUACAAUAGGAAAGGAAGAAUUCAGAUUAUCUCUGUUUGCUAAUAAUAUAAUUCUAUAUCUAGAAGACCCAAAAAACUCCAGCAGAAUACUUCUAGAGGUGUACUCUUCAGCAUACUACUGUACUGUUGAGCACAGUGGUAGGAUCGACAUACAAAUAUCAAUAGUUUCCUCUACUCCAACAAUGAAUCUGCUGAGAAAGAAAUCAGAAAAACUCUUCUGUUCACAAUAACCUAAAAAAAAAAACAAAAAAAAACUCGGGAAUAAACCAAGAAGGUGAAAGACCUCUACAAUGAAAACUAUGGAAUAUUAAAGAACAAGAUUGAAUAAGACUCAGAAGACGCAAAGAUCUCCCACCUUCAUGGAUAGAUGAUAAUCAAAAUGGCCAUAUUGCCAAAACAAUCUACAGGGCUGGGGUUGAUUUUAUUUAUUAUUUUGAGACAGGAUAUCACUAAAUUGCUCAGACUGGCCUCAAACUUACCUUCCUCCUGCUUCAGCCUUCCACAUUGCUGGGAUUACAGGCGUGUACCACUGCACGUGACCUUUCCUAGAGAAGUGAGGAGGGUGCUUUUCCCACCUCCUGGCCAGGCUCGGCUGAGACCCUGCCUAAUGUAGUCAGCCGUAAAGGAAUAACAGCCCAUGACCAGUUUGAAUGAUCCACCCCUCUGACCCUGUCUUGCCACCUUCCCUCUCCCCCACUCCACUCCUGCCUCCUGCCUCCUCUCCAUUCCUGACAUACCUGGACACAGCCACCACCCGAGGACAUUCUGCCCCUGGUAGUCACUCCCUGACAUGCUGUAUGAUUGUUUAAAAGGGCUGGGGAUGCGGCUCAAUGGUUAAGCGCCCCUGGGUUCAAUCCCCAGUACCUGUCACUCCCACCAGAAAAAAGAAGUAUCAUCAUCCCCGCGGCCUGGUGCACCAGGGUCCAGCCUGAGUGGACUGUGCACAGCCUCACUCCUCCUGCCCAGGCUGAGAGAAGGGAGGGGAAGGUGCCUGCUUGUGUCAGGGGCUGGAUGGGACAUGGCAGGACAGCCAUGGGGAGAUAGCGUGGGUCGCAAGAGGCCUGGGGCCCGAGCAGCUGGCCAAAGAGCUGCAUCUGCUGCCUGCUGGAAGGGGUCCGCCUGCUGCUGUUCCUCCACCCAGCCCAGGGUGCUGCCUCUCCUGUCACCAGACCCGGGCUUCGGGCCUGAGAGAGAAGAGUUGUCCACACCAAUCCAGUGGCUUAGAGCAAGUGGAUCACCGAGGCACACAGGCCAGUGGGCCUUCCAGUGCCAGCAGGCGUGUGUGGAACUGACCCUGACCUCCUGUCCUCUAAUGCCAGAGGGAAGCACACCAGGGGCCAGCUCAGGGCCUGAGGAGGGUGACACAGCCUCAGAAGAGUGACACAGACAGCCAGCCUGCCAGUCUCUCUAGUGCUGCUGACCGAGUGACCUCUUUGUUACUAGGAAGGGUCUGCAUCUGGAUCACAUCCUGUCUUUGGGGAAGGCCAGGUCAGCCCCGCUGCCCACUGGGGAGCGGAAAGUGGGCUGGGCCUCUCUCAGGCCUGGCCGACCUCAGUGUGAUGGGGUCUGUGUGACUUCCUGCUUUUCCAAAUCUCUACACUCACCGUCUGAAGGGUCACUCCACCUAGAGUGGCCAGCCACCUCAGUUUUCCUGGGAUUCAGGAAUUUCCAUGCUGAAAUGGGGACAGUCCCAGGCUAACUGGGAUAAUUGUUCACCCCAGUUCUGCAAGAAAACGUAAAGCAGCCCAGACUGAGGGCCCAGACUGAAGAAACCCCUUUGACUGAGGGUGGCUUGCAGUGACCCUCCUGGGAUGGCGCCCACCGUCCUUCCAGCCCCACUUCCUUUCACCCUCUGGCUCCCCACCAAUGCGCAGGGAGAAGUGGGGAUGAGAGGGGGAAGUCGGGUGAGAGCAGCCAACACUCGCAGGCCCAACCCGGAGCAGACGGACAUUUCCCUUUGUGCUCUCUGGAGCACAACCCAGGGGUCACCAUGCUGAUAGCCCUGCGAUGGGCCCAGGCCAGACACAGGCGAAUUAGCACAUGGUCCAGCAUUGCCACUUCUAGGCACGUCCCCAAAAGCAUGGAAAGCAAGGGCUUGAGCAGACACCUCUACCCCCACAUCCACGGAGGCCCACCCACGGUAGCCAAGAUGCAGGAACGGCCGGUCGCCCACAGAUGAAUGGAAAGAGCAGGGUGGUCAGCCCUACAAUGGAGUACUGCCCAACCCUAAAAAGAAGGAGAUUCUGACACGUGUGACAACAUGGAUAGGAAGCCAUGCUGAGCAAAAUAAACCAGUGACCAAAAGACAAACACCCAGAUUGGCGGCUGGGGGCGGGGAGUGGCGCUCAGGGGUACAGAAUUCCAGUUUUGUGAGAUGCGGGAGUCCUGGGGUCCGUCGGCAGCCAUGGUUGCACCGUGGGGACACACGUGGUGGUUUUCUGAAUAAGAUGCUGAGGCAAACAAGCACACUCCGGCCCUUCAGAAGCUGAGGAAGCACCCAAAGCCAGGGCGAAGCCGAGGGAGUCCGCCCGGAAAGCCAGGACCAGAAGGGGAAGAAUUGAGAUCUCACAGGGGCUGCCCGGCUUCCCCAGCCUGUGUGGAGACUGCCACAGGGCCACACGUCCCUGUCAUCCUGAAGGAGCUGCAAGUGAGGGAGCCACACAGGGGUGGGACUCAAACUCUGGAUAGAAACUGCCCAGAUACCUGGCGGACCACACAACUGUGCCCGUGGUGCAGACCGCAGGCCGUUCUGCAGGACAGCAGAUGGCUCUGCUCUAGGAAGGCAGGGCCCUGGGAGAGACCUACGGGCUCACUGCUUUCAACUCAGUGACCCAGCUGUGCUCAGUGUGCAGCUUGACUUGUGUGACGUGUCAGAGGAGAGCCUGGUGCUGCAGAGACGCUGCGAAUGUAGGGAGAAUCCUCAGGAGCAAAGGAACAGGCAGGUGCAGUGGUGCAUGCCUGUCAUCCCUGCUACUGGGGAGGCCGAGGUGGGAGGAUUGCAAAUGUGAGGCCAGCCUCUGCAAUUUAUCAAGACUGUCUCAAAAAAUAAAGGAAAAAAGCUACCUCAGUGGUAGAGCAGCCAGGGUUUAGUCCCCAGUACUCGAACAUACGCGCGAGUGCACGCGCGCACACACACACACAGACACACACAUACACGAGAGAGAGAGAGAGAGAGAGAGAGAGAGAGAGAGAGAGAGAGAGAGAGAGAGAGAGAAAGCAAGAGGACCUCAAAGACAAUAGGUCCCUAAAUCUAGGUGUGAACUUUACUGAAAUCCUUGACUGACUGCACAACUAUCCAGGCCCAGGCCCAGGCAGGCCGCCGGGAAGCAGGCUGACCAAUAGCCGUCCAGAAAGCUGAAGAACAGCAGAAGGUCAGCUGCCACGCCCUGAGGGACAGCAGUGGUUUAGUAGAGCAAGUUAACUGUCCUCUAAAGCAGGGACAAACAGUCUUCGUGAGUCACUAAAGUAUUAUCUGCGGUGCCCACUUUUCAACCAAAUUAACAGACAUGUGAGGAAGCGGAAAGGGUGAUUCACCAUCAGAAAAAAGAAAGUCAAGAGAAAUGGACUCUAUAGAUACUGGAUUUAGCAGGUGAAGUCUUCAAAGUAGCUCAUGCAAAUGUGCCCCGGUAAUUAAGAGAAAAACGUUUUCAAUGAGUGAACAGAGAUUUAAAAACUAUUAAAAAUGGAAAUUCUAGCUGAAAGGUAUGAUUAAAAUGAAGAACUGGGUUUUUUGGUUUUUUUUUUACAAAGAUAGAUUUAACAGCAGGUUAGAGAGGGCAGAACUAGUGAACUUCAAGAUGUUAAUAGAUAUUAACCAAUCGGAAAAAAAGAAAAAUCUGGGCACAGUGGCUCCCGAGACUGAGGCAGGAGGAUCACGAGUUCAAAGCCAGCUUCAACAACUUAGCAAAGCGCUAAGCAACUCAGUGGGACCCGAAAUAAAAUAAAA
rnacentral:lncRNA from 1 species